rnacentral:rRNA from 1 species
AGCGGGGUAGUGCUUGCACUACUGUCCGGCGGGUGGCGAACGGGUGAGUAAUAUAUCGGAACGUACCGAGUAAUGGGGGAUAACCAAUCGAAAGAUUGGCUAAUACCGCAUACGUCCUACGGGAGAAAGCGGGGUAUCGCAAGACCUCGCGUUAUUCGAGCGGCCGAUAACUGAUUAGCUAGUUGGUGGGGUAAAGGCCUACCAAGGCGACGAUCAGUAGCGGGUCUGAGAGGACGAUCCGCCACACUGGGACUGAGACACGGCCCAGACUCCUACGGGAGGCAGCAGUGGGGAAUUUUGGACAAUGGGGGCAACCCUGAUCCAGCCAUGCCGCGUGUAUGAAGAAGGCCUUCGGGUUGUAAAGUACUUUUGUUAGGGAAGAAAAGGGAAGUGCUAAUACCACUUUUUGCUGACGGUACCUAAAGAAUAAGCACCGGCUAACUACGUGCCAGCAGCCGCGGUAAUACGUAGGGUGCGAGCGUUAAUCGGAAUUACUGGGCGUAAAGCGAGCGCAGACGGUUAUUUAAGCAGGAUGUGAAAUCCCCGGGCUCAACCUGGGAACUGCGUUCUGAACUGGAUAGCUAGAGUGUGUCAGGGGGGGGUAGAAUUCCACGUGUAGCAGUGAAAUGCGUAGAGAUGUGGAGGAAUACCGAUGGCGA